rnacentral:rRNA from 1 species
UACGAAGGGGGCUAGCGUUGCUCGGAAUCACUGGGCGUAAAGCGCACGUAGGCGGAUCUUUAAGUCAGGGGUGAAAUCCUGGAGCUCAACUCCAGAACUGCCUUUGAUACUGGGGAUCUCGAGUCCGGGAGAGGUGAGUGGAACUCCGAGUGUAGAGGUGAAAUCGUAGAUAUCGGAAGAACACCAGUGGCGAAGGCGGCUCACUGGCCCGGUACUGACGCUGAGGUGCGAAAGCGUGGGGAGCAAACAGGG